rnacentral:rRNA from 1 species
ACCAUCCUCCAAGGCUAAAUACUCCUGACUGACCGAUAGUGAACCAGUACCGUGAGGGAAAGGCGAAAAGAACCCCGGCGAGGGGAGUGAAAAAGAACCUGAAACCGUGUACGUACAAGCAGUGGGAGCACAGGUUUACCUGUGUGACUGCGUACCUUUUGUAUAAUGGGUCAGCGACUUAUAUUCUGUAGCAAGGUUAACCGAAUAGGGGAGCCGUAGGGAAACCGAGUCUUAACCGGGCGUUAAGUUGCAGGGUAUAGACCCGAAACCCGGUGAUCUAGCCAUGGGCAGGUUGAAGGUUGGGUAACACUAACUGGAGGACCGAACCGACUAAUGUUGAAAAAUUAGCGGAUGACCUGUGGCUGGGGGUGAAAGGCCAAUCAAACCGGGAGAUAGCUGGUUCUCCCCGAAAGCUAUUUAGGUAGCGCCUCGUGAAUUCAUCUCCGGGGGUAGAGCACUGUUUCGGCUAGGGGGCCAUCCCGGCUUACCAACCCGAUGCAAACUGCGAAUACCGGAGAAUGUUAUCACGGGAGACACACGGCGGGUGCUAACGUCCGUCGUGAAGAGGGAAACAACCCAGACCGCCAGCUAAGGUCCCAAAGUCAUGGUUAAGUGGGAAACGAUGUGGGAAGGCCCAGACAGCCAGGAUGUUGGCUUAGAAGCAGCCAUCAUUUAAAGAAAGCGUAAUAGCUCACUGGUCGAGUCGGCCUGCGCGGAAGAUGUAACGGGGCUAAACCAUGCACCGAAGCUGCGGCAGCGACACUGUGUGUUGUUGGGUAGGGGAGCGUUCUGUAAGCCUGCGAAGGUGUCCCGUGAGGGAUGCUGGAGGUAUCAGAAGUGCGAAUGCUGACAUAAGUAACGAUAAAGCGGGUGAAAAGCCCGCUCGCCGGAAGACCAAGGGUUCCUGUCCAACGUUAAUCGGGGCAGGGUGAGUCGACCCCUAAGGCGAGGCCGAAAGGCGUAGUCGAUGGGAAACGGGUUAAUAUUCCCGUACUUGGUGUUACUGCGAAGGGGGGACGGAGAAGGCUAUGUUGGCCGGGCGACGGUUGUCCCGGUUUAAGCGUGUAGGCUGGUUUUCCAGGCAAAUCCGGAAAAUCAAGGCUGAGGCGUGACGACGAGGCACUACGGUGCUGAAGCAACAAAUGCCCUGCUUCCAGGAAAAGCCUCUAAGCAUCAGGUAACAUCAAAUCGUACCCCAAACCGACACAGGUGGUCAGGUAGAGAAUACCAAGGCGCUUGA